AUUUUAUAAAAUAAUUACGCUUUCGAAUGAAUAUUUGUUGUAAUAUUUUAUAUAAUAAUUGGAAUAGAAUUGAACAGUAAUUGUUUACAAUUGUAUCAAUAAUUGUAUAAUUAAAUUUUACUACUAUUAAGGUAUUAUAAUUUUCUACAAGGUCUCAUGAGAUUCUAAUAUUUUACUCGAUUUCGCAAAAUAGUCUCAUAACAUUUUAUACAAUUUGCAUAAUAACCUCAUAAUAUUUUUGUACAUUUUUACAAAGUGAAACUACAAAUGCGAUCGUCUCAAACGAUUUAACUGCAACGAAAGUGCGAACACAUGAAUAUUUAUUCUCGUUAUGAAUUUAUUCCAACGGAAGUAAUCUGAAGAAGUACAGAACACUCGUUUUACUCGAGUAACCUACAGAACAAUUAUUUUCAUUUAUACUACUUGUUUGAUUCUUUUAUUAGCAGAAUUUUUUACUGACUCUUUGUUUCAGGUAGACAAAUACAGACAACUGUUCCACUAGAAAGACAGAAAUCAGAGGACAUUCACCAUAACGAUAUAUUAUUUUAUAGAGAAUUAUAGGUUAUGGUUAUGUUCUUUUACACAAAAAAUAUAAUGCAGAAGAGAAUUUAUCACGUUUUGAAAAAAGAAUAGAAGAAAAGGAAAAUAACGUAAUAUAAUAAAAUAUAAUGUACAAAACAUACAUGUCGCAUGUAAGCAGGAAAAUAUAACAUGAUUACCUACGUAAUUUCAAUGAUUUAGCGCAGCGAAGGCAGUAAUGUAAAAUGCUAAUAAUUCGUAGAAGAAUCAGUGGACCAACGUCGGCUAAAAUAAAGGAAGAAGAUGGUAUCUCGUAUAAUUUAUCUUUUUUUUUCUAUCGCGCUUUCAUCGGUUAUCCGUCGAAGGAGGCGUUCAUCGUUGGUAAUACAUCCCUACGGCCAAGGAUAAUCGUCGAUAAUCUAUUAUGCCGGCUGCCUUCUACUUUUUCUUUUUUAUGUACCUUUUUUCUCACCUGCUUCGCUCGGAGGCUCUGUCAGCCAAAAAUCGAACGGAGAUGUUUCAAUUUAAAAAUUCAAAUCUGAACGGUUCCGCCUAAACUCAUUCACUAUUUGCAUAUUUUUCAUGUUAUCUCAUACUUUAUUAAUUUUUUAUUUUGUUUUA